GACUAACGCUGGCGGCGUGCAUAACACAUGCAAGUCGAACGAUGAAACUUUAAUGAACCCUUCGGGGAGAAUUAAAGCGGAUUAGUGGCGAACGGGUGAGUAACGCGUGAGUAACCUGCCUUACACAAGGGGAUAGCCUUUGGAAACGAAGAAUAAUACCCUAUAAAACCAUAAAAGCACAUGCAAUUACGGUCAAAGUGAUAGCGGUGUAAGAUGGACUUGCGUCUGAUUAGCUAGUUGGUGAGAUAAAAGCCCACCAAGGCAACGAUCAGUAGCCGGCUUGAGAGAGUGUACGGCCACAUUGGGACUGAGACACGGCCCAGACUCCUACGGGAGGCAGCAGUGGGGAAUUUUGCACAAUGGGGGAAACCCUGAUGCAGCGACGCCGCGUGAUUUAGAAGGCCUUCGGGUUGUAAAAAUCUUUUGUAUAGGAAGAAAAUGACAGUACUAUACGAAUAAGGUCCGGCUAAUUACGUG
rnacentral:rRNA from 1 species